rnacentral:rRNA from 1 species
CAUAGGUUAAUGAGGCGAACCGGGGGAACUGAAACAUCUAAGUACCCCGAGGAAAAGAAAUCAACCGAGAUUCCCCCAGUAGCGGCGAGCGAACGGGGAGCAGCCCAGAGCCUGAAUCAGUGUGUGUGUUAGUGGAAGCGUCUGGAAAGGCGCGCGAUACAGGGUGACAGCCCCGUACACAAAAAUGCACAUGCUGUGAGCUCGAUGAGUAGGGCGGGACACGUGGUAUCCUGUCUGAAUAUGGGGGGACCAUCCUCCAAGGCUAAAUACUCCUGACUGACCGAUAGUGAACCAGUACCGUGAGGGAAAGGCGAAAAGAACCCCGGCGAGGGGAGUGAAAAAGAACCUGAAACCGUGUACGUACAAGCAGUGGGAGCACGCUUAGGCGUGUGACUGCGUACCUUUUGUAUAAUGGGUCAGCGACUUAUAUUCUGUAGCAAGGUUAACCGAAUAGGGGAGCCGAAGGGAAACCGAGUCUUAACUGGGCGUUAAGUUGCAGGGUAUAGACCCGAAACCCGGUGAUCUAGCCAUGGGCAGGUUGAAGGUUGGGUAACACUAACUGGAGGACCGAACCGACUAAUGUUGAAAAAUUAGCGGAUGACUUGUGGCUGGGGGUGAAAGGCCAAUCAAACCGGGAGAUAGCUGGUUCUCCCCGAAAGCUAUUUAGGUAGCGCCUCGUGAAUUCAUCUCCGGGGGUAGAGCACUGUUUCGGCAAGGGGGUCAUCCCGACUUACCAACCCGAUGCAAACUGCGAAUACCGGAGAAUGUUAUCACGGGAGACACACGGCGGGUGCUAACGUCCGUCGUGAAGAGGGAAACAACCCAGACCGCCAGCUAAGGUCCCAAAGUCAUGGUUAAGUGGGAAACGAUGUGGGAAGGCCCAGACAGCCAGGAUGUUGGCUUAGAAGCAGCCAUCAUUUAAAGAAAGCGUAAUAGCUCACUGGUCGAGUCGGCCUGCGCGGAAGAUGUAACGGGGCUAAACCAUGCACCGAAGCUGCGGCAGCGACGCUUAUGCGUUGUUGGGUAGGGGAGCGUUCUGUAAGCCUGUGAAGGUGUGCUGUGAGGCAUGCUGGAGGUAUCAGAAGUGCGAAUGCUGACAUAAGUAACGAUAAAGCGGGUGAAAAGCCCGCUCGCCGGAAGACCAAGGGUUCCUGUCCAACGUUAAUCGGGGCAGGGUGAGUCGACCCCUAAGGCGAGGCCGAAAGGCGUAGUCGAUGGGAAACAGGUUAAUAUUCCUGUACUUGGUGUUACUGCGAAGGGGGGACGGAGAAGGCUAUGUUGGCCGGGCGACGGUUGUCCCGGUUUAAGCGUGUAGGCUGGUUUUCCAGGCAAAUCCGGAAAAUCAAGGCUGAGGCGUGAUGACGAGGCACUACGGUGCUGAAGCAACAAAUGCCCUGCUUCCAGGAAAAGCCUCUAAGCAUCAGGUAACAUCAAAUCGUACCCCAAACCGACACAGGUGGUCAGGUAGAGAAUACCAAGGCGCUUGAGAGAACUCGGGUGAAGGAACUAGGCAAAAUGGUGCCGUAACUUCGGGAGAAGGCACGCUGAUAUGUAGGUGAAGUCCCUCGCGGAUGGAGCUGAAAUCAGUCGAAGAUACCAGCUGGCUGCAACUGUUUAUUAAAAACACAGCACUGUGCAAACACGAAAGUGGACGUAUACGGUGUGACGCCUGCCCGGUGC